rnacentral:pre_miRNA from 1 species
GAUUUACUCCCUCCGUUCCAAAAUAGAUGACCCAACUUUGCAAUAACUUUGUACAAAGUUAGUGCAAAGUUGGGUCAUCUAUUUUGGAACGGAGGGAGUACAAU